AACAAGCAUGCAAAACACCGAGGAGGCCAGGCGAAACAGUGUGGCAUCGCAGUGUGGCAUCGGAGUCCGGCAUCGGAGUCCGCGAGUGAGGGAAGGAGUCCUAAGGGGGGAAUAACAGCCCCAGUGGUCUGAGGUGUCUGCAGAGUGGAAUCAACAGGAAUUUGAGAGACCAACAGGAGGAAUUCAUCAUUUAGAACAGGUGGAAUGAAGGGGAAGAAAACAUGAUAGUGUGAGCUACGCACAGUGAAGAGGAGAAACGGAAGAUCAAGUUUACAUGGGAAGGUAACAGUAAGGAGAAAAGCUGGCCCUCACCUUCACGAGGAGCUCGGUGAGUUCCUCCUCCCCACUGUACACGGCUCCGGACGCCUUCCCCUCCUGCCAGAAGACAUCUGCAGAGAAAGUCAAGACCAGCAGUUUCCUUCUUCUCUCCCUUCCUUCCCUAUCCAGUCACUGGAAGCGUGAGGAGUGUCACGAGCUGUGAGUACACCCUCAUCAGAGUUGCAGUCCGGGAAUCCCUGACCAGACAAACUAUGAUGAUGUAUGUACCAUCAGUCCCUGGUCCCAGCAGCCCCUCCUUCACACGAGUCUGACACCCGGCCCCCCAACCCCCAACAAUUAGUCACGCCCUUCCAGAAACCUACGGGGUAGCACUCAGCAUCAGGAACGCGGUCGACACUGGGAUAAGCUCAGGGGAAAGGGUCCUGACCACAACAUGAGGUCUAACUUUCCACUUCCUGUCUGAGGUGCUUCUCCAAAGACAGUCUACACUGUUAUCGACCAGUCUGCCAGUGUACCUCGGGUCCCUUCGCCGCAACACGGCUGUGCCCUACUGAAAGUGCACAGCGAGAAAGCGAUUUCAGAAACCGGCUGACAACUGGAGACCCAGGCUCUAUCACGCCAAGAUCCUCAGCUCCGACAGGAGAGCAGAAGGCUGAGCGGUGGGCAUCCUCAUUCUCUGCUCCUCUGCCAAACCCGGGCUUGCUGCCGGUGCGACGUGCCCUCUUCCUUAGAGGACACCGGACUGUAUCAUCAUGCCUUCAGAUCAGAGGCCACCAGCCUUUCAAAAAUAGGAUACGUGGUUUCAUUUCCUGUCAUUUUACCUGUGCUACAGAGUACAGCAAUGGCCAAGGAGUUAAAAAUGGAAGGGAAGGAAAUGUAGUGGCAGCAAUCUGCUCUCAUAAUCCUGGAAAUCUUUAACACGUAGGGUUCAAGGACUGGUCCCUGCUUUAUAUCAUCUAUAAAUCCCGGACUGCAUCUGAUUUCACACAAUCCAAUGUCAAAAACUCAACACGUCAAUCAGAAAAUUUUGAGUAUAUUUGUUGAAAUGCAAUGCGGCAUCCUGGACUGGAUCUUAGAACAGAAAAAAGGACAUUAGUGUGAAGGCUGGUGAAAUAGGAAUUGAAUAUGCAGUUUAGGGGCGCCUGGGUGGCUCAGUCAAGUGUCUGACUUCACCUCAGGUCAUGAUCUCACGGUUUGUGGGU